rnacentral:rRNA from 1 species
GGGGCAUGCGAGGGCUGUCGCUGACUCAAAGUCGUGCACGCCCGAGUGUGUCGCCUCACAUAAUAAUCCAUCUCACCCUUUGUGCAUCACCGCGUGGGCACCCCUUUGGGAUCAUCUCGGAGGGGGCUCGCGUUUUCACACGAAACCCCCCUUUUAAAAGUGUAGAAUGACCUCAUUUAUGCGCUAACCCGCAAUCAAUACAACUUUCAACAACGGAUCUCUUGGCCCUCGCAUCGAUGAAGAACGCAGCGAAAUGCGAUACGUAAUGUGAAUUGCAGAAUUCAGUGAAUCAUCGAAUCUUUGAACGCACCUUGCGCCCCCUGGUAUUCCGAGGGGCACACCCGUUUGAGUGUCGUGAAAACCUCAACCUCCUUGGUUUCUUCUGGAGACCAAAGCAGGCUUGGACUUUGGAGGCCUUUGCUGGCACCUCUCGCCAGCUCCUCUUAAAUGAAUUAGCAGGGUCCUCUUUGCUGAUCCUCGACGUGUGAUAAGAUGUUUCCAUGUCUUGGUUUCUGGCUCUGUCACCUUUGGGACCCGCUUCUAACCGUCUUCAACCUUGCGUUGAGACAACGNUCGAGCAUGUCUCCCUUCUCGGGAAGCUCCCNCGACCCCACGANCCUUGA